GAUGAAGAACGUAGCGAAAUGCGAUACGUAAUGUGAAUUGCAGAAUUCAGUGAAUCAUCGAAUCUUUGAACGCAUAUUGCGCUCUCUGGUAUUCCGGAGAGCAUGCUUGUUUGAGUAUCAGUAAACACCUCAACUUCCAUAUCUUUUUUGAAAUGGGAGUUGGACUUGAGUGAUCCCAACGCUUUUCCUCACCGAAAAGUGGCGGGUUACUUGAAAUGCAGGUGCAACUGGACUUUUCUCUGAGCUAUAAGCAUAUCUAUUUAGUCUGCCUAAAAAACAGAUUAUUACCUUUGCUGCAGCUAACAUAAAGGAGAUUAGUUCUUGUGCUGACUGAUGCAGGAUUCACAAAGACGGCUUCGGCCGACUUUGUAAACUCGAUCUCAAAUCAAGUAAGACUACCCGCUGAACUUAAGCAUAUCAAUAAGCGGAGGA
rnacentral:misc_RNA from 1 species